rnacentral:rRNA from 1 species
UGAGUUUGAUUCUGGCUCAGGAUGAACGCUAGCGGCAGGCCUAAUACAUGCAAGUCGAACGAGAUUCUAUUCUUCGGGAUAGAUGAAAGUGGCGCACGGGUGCGUAACGCGUAUGCAACCUACCCUUAACAGGGGGAUAGCCCAGAGAAAUUUGGAUUAAUACCCCAUAGUAUUACAAGAUGGCAUCUGAAAGUAAUUAAAGAUUUAUCGGUUAAGGAUGGGCAUGCGUAACAUUAGCUAGUUGGUGAGGUAACGGCUCACCAAGGCAACGAUGCUUAGGGGUUCUGAGAGGAUGAUCCCCCACACUGGUACUGAGAUACGGACC